rnacentral:lncRNA from 1 species
CCCCCCUCCUCUUCUCCUUCUGAACUGCUAAAGCAUCUGGUUGCCUCCAAGCAAGGACAAACUACAAACACCUGGAUGUCGAUUUUUUUUUUUAUCCCCCCUUCCCUGAGAUCUGCAGCUGCAUGACAGCCGGAUCCUGGAGGCUGUGAGUGGCACCUUCUCCCGGUGGCUGUCAUCCCAUCAGAAACAGCCCCUGACACCCGCCACGUGAUUGAGAGGGCCCUUACUCUGGGGCUGACCCCAUUACCUCACAGUGAAAUGAUGCGGGGCCACGACACCAAGGCAUGAUGUCAUGGGCCUUGACGUGUCACCAGAAGAAAUACAAGCUUCCUCGUGCUGUAACCUUAUUACAAGGUGAUUUUUGUUCCCCUGCACGCUGAUUCAGUGUGCAGCACAAUCAUCCGUGCCAGUAACUGAGCAGGGAAUGCAACCCAAUAGCUGGAGCUGCUUCUUGGUCAUGGAAAGGAGAGGAGAGAAAGGGACAAGAACCACUGUGAACCCUUCUCCUCUUGUGCCAGUUGUUUGUUUCUUCCAAGUAAUAAAUAACCUUUGAAAUACUCUUUUAGCAAUGGAUUAAAUAGUGUAGCGAGUGGCAAUCUGGGCUGCAGUUUCCCAUGCCUGACUUUGAUCUUCUAAAUAUGGUGGGUGUAUAGAAUUGCCUAAUUUCCCUUAUUUCUUCCAAUAUUCUAUGCUACUUUCUAGAUUUGCCGUUGAGUGAUGUUCCCAAGUAAUCAUAGCACCGAGCAAAUGCCUGCUGUGAUAUUCAACAGCCUGCACCUAGAGCAAUAAUUUUACCCUCUCCUUGCCAGCUCUUUCUUAAUGUUCACCUGCUUCCCUAUUACACGGCUGGCACUUUGCAUUAGGUUAGAAGGCAUGAUUUCAUUUUUCUACUUGGCUGCUGCUGGGGCUGCCCUGCAAGCGCCGUACUGUUCCCA